AUAUAAAUCUAACAUCAACCACUGCCAAUUGGACUCUUGCUCUGCCAUCUGUUUGUUGUUUCUUCUUUACACAUCUUCCACGAAUGCUCCUAUGCCCAUUCCUUUUGGAAACUUAUUGAAGAAAGAGCUGGUUAUGUUUUCCAAUUCUUCUGGACUUGGGAUAAGGAAGACUGGCUCCUUGAAGGUUCCCCUUGGAUUGUACCUCCUGUUCUGUCCUACUUAGUACCAUCACUGCUUCCUUCUGGUUUCUUUGGAUCAACUGGAAUAAUGUUAGGCACAACAACAAUUCAACCAAGCUGUUCAUCGUCUCAUCAAUCUUUCUUCAAGUCCUGAGGAAAGUGUGAGGGAGCACUGGCUUCUUUGGAUCAACCGGAACGAUGCUAAACACAAGAACCAUUCAAUCAGGCCAUCCAUCCUCUCAACAAAAGCUUUAAUUGCUGCUAAUGACUUCAUCAAUCUUUCUCCAAGUUGUGAGGGAGUCAAGCACUGGUUUUCAACUUAUAAUGGCUGGUAACGAGUCACCUCGGAUGGGGGGCAAUUGCUGCAAGGCUUUGAGUUCACUAGUGGUGGAAAAUUUGGCCCAGUUGGAAGCUCUAAAAGCAGUACAGUUUCUCCAACUUCCUAUUAUUGAGAUCAACACUGACUCUAUGGAGGUUGUCAACAUUACCAAAGGAAUUAAUCCUAUUCCCUGGUCCCUGCAAAAUCUGCUUCCUUCUAUUGAGAUCAACACUGACUCUAUGGAGGUUGUCAACAUUACCAAGGGAAUUAAUCCUAUUCCCUGGUCCCUGCAAAAUCUGCUUCCUUCUAUUGAGAUCAACACCGACUCUAUGGAGGUUGUCAACAUUACCAAGGGAAUUAAUCCUAUUCCUUGGUCCCUGCGAAAUUUGCUUCUGGACUUUUUUUCCCUUUUUGACUCACUACAUGUAGUUGGAAUCAAGCACAUCCCAGGUCGGGCAAUUUUGUAAGCCACUACCAGGCAAAUUUUAGUGGAUCACAGAUCUCUAGGUUUUUUAUUUCUGCUGUGGAUCCG